UACGUAGGCAGCGAGCGUUGUUCGGAAUUACUGGGCGUAAAGAGUGUGUAGGCGGUGCUCUAAGUUCGGUGUGAAAUCUCCCGCUUAACUGGGAGGGUGCGCCGGAAACUGGAGUGCUCGAGCGUGGGAGAGGAAAGCGGAAUUCCUGGUGGUAGCGGUGAAAUGCGUAGAUAUCAGGAGGAACACCUGCGGUGUAGACGGCUUUCUGGACCAUUGCUGACGCUCAUGCACGAAAGCGUGGGGAGCAAACAGG
rnacentral:rRNA from 1 species